rnacentral:rRNA from 1 species
GAUGAACGCUGGCGGCGUGCCUAAUACAUGCAAGUCGAGCGAACGGACGAGAAGCUUGCUUCUCUGAUGUUAGCGGCGGACGGGUAAGUAACACGUGGAUAACCUACCUAUAAGACUGGGAUAACUUCGGGAAACCGGAGCUAAUACCGGAUAAUAUUUUGAACCGCAUGGUUCAAAAGUGAAAGACGGUCUUGCUGUCACUUAUAGAUGGAUCCGCGCUGCAUUAGCUAGUUGGUAAGGUAACGGCUUACCAAGGCAACGAUGCAUAGCCGGCCUGAGAGGGUGAUCGGCCACACUGGAACUGAGACACGGUCCAGACUCCUACGGGAGGCAGCAGUAGGGAAUCUUCCGCAAUGGGCGAAAGCCUGACGGAGCAACGCCGCGUGAGUGAUGAAGGUCUUCGGAUCGUAAAACUCUGUUAUUAGGGAAGAACAUAUGUGUAAGUAACUGUGCACAUCUUGACGGUACCUAAUCAGAAAGCCACGGCUAACUACGUG